GACGAACGCUGGCGGCGUGCUUAACACAUGCAAGUCGAACGGUAAGGCCCUUCGGGGUACACGAGUGGCGAACGGGUGAGUAACACGUGGGUGAUCUGCCCUGCACUUCGGGAUAAGCCUGGGAAACUGGGUCUAAUACCGGAUAGGACUCCGGACUGCAUGGUCUGGGGUGGAAAGCUUUUGCGGUGUGGGAUGGGCCCGCGGCCUAUCAGCUUGUUGGUGGGGUGAUGGCCUACCAAGGCGACGACGGGUAGCCGGCCGGAGAGGGUGACCGGCAACACUGGGACUGAGAUACGGCCCAGCCUCCUACGGGAGGCAGCAGUGGGGAAUAUUGCAAAAUGGGCGCAAGCCUGAUGCAGCGACGCCGCGUGAGGGAUGACGGCCUUCGGGUUGUAAACCUCUUUCAGCAUCGACGAAGCGAAAGUGACGGUAGGUGCAGAAGAAGGACCGGCCAACUACGUGCCAGCAGCCGCGGUAA
rnacentral:rRNA from 1 species